rnacentral:lncRNA from 1 species
UGGCUUUGGUACUUCGAUCACCUCAUACGGCCCUUCCCAGUUCGGCAUUAAUUUUCCUGUGUUUUGAGGCAUAGAUGCUUCGGCUUCUCUUAGGACAAAGUCUCCUACUUCGAAUCUGCGAAGUUUGACCCCUUUGUUGUAAUGCUUGGCUACUCUUCGUUGAUAAGCAGCCAAUUUGAGCAAAGCUACCUCUCUGACUUCUUCUAGCAGAUCCAAGUUGGCCUUCAGUCCUUCGUCAUUGUAGAUCUCUUUGAAUUGACUGACCCGAAGACUUGGAGAUCCGAUUUCGACUGGGACUAAGGCAUCAGUACCAUAGGCCAAUCGAAAAG